UACGUAGGGUGCAAGCGUUGUCCGGAAUUAUUGGGCGUAAAGAGCUCGUAGGCGGUCUGUCGCGUCGGUCGUGAAAACUUGGGGCUUAACCCUGAGCUUGCGGUCGAUACGGGCAUGACUGGAGUUCGGUAGGGGAGACUGGAAUUCCUGGUGUAGCGGUGAAAUGCGCAGAUAUCAGGAGGAACACCGGUGGCGAAGGCGGUUCUCUGGGCAUUACCUGACGCUGAGGAGCGAAAGUGUGGGGAGCAAACAGG
rnacentral:rRNA from 1 species